rnacentral:tRNA from 1 species
GCCCCAAUAGCUCAGCUGGAUAGAGCAUUGCCCUUCUAAGGCAACGGUCAAAGGUUCGAAUCCUUUUUGGGGUA